rnacentral:lncRNA from 1 species
CCCGAUUGAAUUUCGAUCUCAAUUUAAACCCACAUAACAACUUCUUUCCAAUUUGACAUUCCAAUUGAGAGAACGCCAAUCAUAAGCCGAUUAUCCAACCAAGAAAGUCCUUCACCGAUCUCACGGGUGGGUUAACUGUCUCAUCUAAAGCGUACGUAAAUCACUUAAAAGAUCCAGAAUUUUUCCUCCUAACUCCUUUUGGAUUUUCCACACGCUCCACGAGAGUCCCUCUUUUGCGUGCAAACUGAUCGUCAAGAACCGGUGCCAACGAUCGGAUAACGUAGCUAAUCGGGAAGCCAUCAUGUGUCCCAACCUGAUUCGCAACGUUGUCACAUUUCGAAUGGCGAUGAAGGAGACAUCAUGCGACGCAGCCGCAGCUCCUUUUGGAGAACCAUCGGACGUGAAUCGUCCCUUGUGUGUCAAGCUCAUCCUCUUGCACGCAUUGGUCUCCGUUGUCGAAAGAUAAG